UGUUCAGUUUGAGCUUGAAGUAUGUUUCUUUUUUUGAUAUACUUGUGUUGUGCAGUUGAAGGCAACUUUUGCAGCUCAUCUGUAAGUUUGUGGCAUUUAAAACUGUGUCUAGUCGCGUUUGUUGCGUGCAUAUCCUUGUUGCACACAGUUGGGAUACCCUUUCGAAGGAUACUCGAAUUUGCAAAUCAAAUAUGUAACGCCUUGAGGGCCGAGUCUAUAAGCCAGCAAACAGAGCGUCCCGUGUUCCCGUGUUCCGUGGCCCGUUUGAUGCUGCUCAUGAGGGUAAUCAGCGGAAAUUGAGUUAUCCCGAAAGGACAUUAUGACAUAUGCCAUUACAGGAUCAAGAUUUGAGCUGGGCUGAGCUGGCUCUUGUGUAGCAAAAACUCGGACUACUUUAAGUUUAUUUUUGAGCCUGAUUUGUGUUUGGGUUGAAGCAGCUCACAGAGUUGAAUAAAGUAAAUAUAGUAAAAAAAAAA